CACAACUAGGGUUUCUCUCAUUCUCUCAUUUUGUUCGCCUCUCAUCCUCUGCUCUCUCUCUCUCUCUCUCUGGCGAUUUAGGGUUUCUACAUAUCAUUCACAUCCGCCCCCAUUGUUCUCUCUCUCUACAUUCAUGGCGAUUUCACCUGUCUCUCCGGCGAUUUCUCUCGGGUUUUCUUUCACCGGACGGCGAUGUUGUUGAAACUUUUAGAUCUGCAGUCCCCAAACCCUAAUACGGUGAAACUUUUAGAUCUGAUCUCUGUUCGUCGCUCUUCUUCUUUUGGGUGUAACGAAGCUUCCAUAAGAAGAACCUAUGGAGAAGUCUGAUGAAAUUCUGGUGCAAGUUUGAAAGCCGCUGCCACUUAGUUUCUAUUCAAGUAUUAAAGUCAAAUCUGAACUUUUUGAGAUGUUUUACUCUGAUUGUGCUCCAGAUCUGACUUGGAUCAAACUGUUGAUAGUGGUUUGAGACUAAAAGGCUUGCAAUGAAUUAUGAAGUUAAGAAACAAAUGGUUGAUGGACAAAGAAAUCAAACAAGGUCAACUGAAAAAGCUUGCCCUGAAGAGAUCUCACUCUGUAAUGAAGAGCCCACGACUGAGCUAAUGGAAGUUGAUGACAAGAAAGCUCCUGACAAGGUGACUGACAUUAAGAAUAACAAAGAAGAGAUCACAGAGGAGAAGGGACCAAAAAGGCGUAGAAACGAAUGGCGCGGACGAAGAAAGCAACAGCAAGACAAAAACAUCAGUAGAGUGACUGAUGGAGUCAUUCUUGCUGUAACCUAUAUUGUCAAAGACGCAAGGCGCAGGCGAAAAUGAGUUUGGUUGAACUCGUACGUGCCUGCACCUGCGGACACGAAUGCAGCUCCGAAAAACACGGGCCCGCGUGAGGCAGUUUCUGCUUAUGCACCGUGCCUCAGGCCAUUUUUUCCAAAAAAAAACCCGAUUUUUGCGCUAUAGGUGCGCCUAGGCGCGCUUUUGACAACAUAAGCUGUAACUAAUGUACUUUAGAUCGUCCAUGCAGUUGUAGCCUAAGUAAGUUCUUCUUUUCCGGAUGGGUUCAGGUUGAGACGGGUCGGGUGGGUGCAAUUUUGAGGGAAAUACUUCUUCAAGCAUCCGUUAACUGGUUAACUAAGUACAUUGGGGACUGAAUUUUCCUUGGUUUCAUAAAAUUUUAGCAUCUAGCACUACUUCAUUAUUUCAAUAUUGAAUAGUGGUACUAUAUAUGAUGCCAGUAAGUCAGUAAUCAUUUUUUCUUGAGUAUAGUUGGUUAAUCUUCGUUGUGGAACAUCCUAUUUGCAUUUAUUAGAAAGCACAUCUGGAAACGUGGAUAUGAUGAAAAACACGUAAUGCAUAGUCUACUUUCUAAUGUUUAUUAAACUAUACGGUUGUUGUCUAAUAAGUUGGGUUUAUUCAGAGUGCUUCCGGUUAUGAGAUUGGGGUUAAUUACUUAUUUUGUUCUAUUAUUGAAGAUAGUUAAAGGAACAGAUUGAAUAAAGCUCCUAUUUUGUUUUAUUCAACGAUUUAGACUUUUGUUGGAUUCCAACAACGAGAAAAGGAUUCUGAGCUAAAUGUCCAUCUACUGGUUGAUUAAUUUGAGGCAAAUGCAAGGAGAGUUUGCACUGAAUAUCGAAGUGUUUUGGUUGAACGGAAUUCCUUCACAUCUUCGGUUAAAGAUCAUCUUUUGGGUAUUAAUAAUCUUAAAUCAAAGCUGCUAUCACCAGCUUUGCAGUCCGCAUUUGCCAGUCUAACGAUGCCAAAUCCAACUGGGAGGGGAGAAACCUGCGCAGAGACCGUCUGUUAAUUUUUAGCAAGAUUGUGAAGCUAGCUGCUGUUAGAAUUAAUGGAAUGGUUGAAAUAAGAGAGGGUAUAUUGUCUUUCUCAGCAGAUUUUGAGCCAGCGAACCGCGUUGCUUUUCAACCGUCAUAUCCACUAGAUUAUCUUAUUUGUUUCUACAGGGUUGCAAACGUUUUGCUCUUACACAUAACACAUAUGACAACUCAGUUCUAAUGUUCGGUUAAUUAUUAUUAACUGAUAUUUCAAAAAAUCAUCUACAACUAUAGAAAACAACCUCAUUGUAAACCUCAAGUUUUCUGUGCUGUGUUUGUUGAUGACAGGGCAUCUUCCGAACGGGCAGCUGAUUUCAAUCAAAAGAGCUCAAGAAGGAUCUUCACAGGGUGGGCUCGAGUUUAAAAAUGAUAUCUAACUUCUUUCAAGAGUUCAUGACAAGAAUGUGGUGGGCCUCAUCGGAUUUUGUUUUGAUAAGGGUGAACAAAUGUUUUAUUUAUCUUUAGGAAUCUUUUUGAUUCAAAGAGUUUGAUUGAGAGUGUAGAAUGACAUGGUGGUUUUGUAUUCCUAGAAAGAAAGGUGAAAUUUUAAUUUUUGUUCUCACAAAUGGGGAUCAUUAAAGUUGGUAUGUUUUGAA